rfam:Dipodomys ordii contig_63129, whole genome shotgun sequence.
AUGGCUCUGGCUCAGUGGUAGAGUGCUUGCCUUACAUGCAUGAGGCUCUGGGUUCGAUUCCUCUGCACCACU